CACGGCCAUAUCACGUUGAAACACAAGAUCUCAGACGAUCACCGAAGUUAAGCAAGGUCAAGGCUGGUCAAUAUCUAGAUGAGUGACCGUUUGGAAAACCAGGUGCUGUAA